AUGGUGCGAUCUAUGAUGUCUCUUACCGAUCUACCGCUAUCAUUCUGGGGUUAUGCUUUAGAGACUGCCGCAUUCACUUUAAAUAGGGCUCCGUCGAAAUCCGUUGAGACGACACCGUAUGAAUUAUGGUUUGGAAAGAAACCUAAGAUGUCGUUUCUUAAAGUUUGGGGAUGCGAUGCUUAUGUCAAGAAACUUCAACCUGAAAAGCUCGAACCCAAGUCGGAAAAAUGCGUCUUCAUAGGAUACCCUAAGGAAACCAUUGGGUAUACCUUCUACCUCAGAUCCGAAGGCAAGAUCUUCGUUGCCAAGAACGGGUCCUUUCUGGAGAAAGAGUUUCUCUCGAAAGAAGUAAGUGGGAGGAAAGUGGAACUUGAUGAGAUGACCCCUCUCGAACCAGAAAGUAGCGCAGCACAAGAAAAUGUUUCUGUGGUGCCUGCACCGACUAGAGAGGAAGUUAAUGAUGACGAUCAUGAUCAAGUUACCACUGAACUUCGUAGGUCCACAAGGACAUGUUCCGCACCAGAGUGGUACGGCAACCCUGUCAUGGAAAUCAUGUUGUUGGACAACGGUGAACCUUCGAACUAUGAAGAAGCAAUGGCGGGCCCAGAUUCCAACAAAUGGCUUGAAGCCAUGCAAUCCGAGAUAGGAUCCAUGUAUGAAAACAAAGUAUGGACUUUGACAGACUUGCCCGAUGAUCGGCGAGCGAUAGAAAAUAAAUGGAUCUUUAAGAAGAAGACGGACGCGGAUGGAAAUGUUACCAUCUAUAAAGCUCGACUUGUCGCUAAGGGUUAUCGACAAGUUCAAGGAGUUGACUACGAUGAGACCUUCUCACCCGUAGCAAAGCUGAAG
rnacentral:rRNA from 1 species